UCAGUCGUUCAGUCCAACCAA
rnacentral:piRNA from 1 species